rnacentral:rRNA from 1 species
CCUACGGGGAGCAGCAGUGGGGAAUAUUGCACAAUGGGGGAAACCCUGAUGCAGCGACGCCGCGUGAGUGAAGAAGUAUUUCGGUACGUAAAGCUCUAUCAGCAGGGAAGAAAAUGACGGUACCUGACUAAGAAGCCCCGGCUAACUACGUGCCAGCAGCCGCGGUAAUACGUAGGGGGCAAGCGUUAUCCGGAUUUACUGGGUGUAAAGGGAGCGUAGACGGCAGCGCAAGUCUGGAGUGAAAUCCCAUGGCUUAACCAUGGAACUGCUUUGGAAACUGUGCAGCUAGAGUGCAGGAGAGGUAAGCGGAAUGCCUAGUGUAGCGGUGAAAUGCGUAGAUAUUAGGAGGAACACCAGUGGCGAAGGCGGCUUACUGGACUGUAACUGACGUUGAGGCUCGAAAGCGUGGGGAGCAAACAGGAUUAGAUACCCCAGUAGUC